GGGCCCGCACAAGCGGUGGAGCAUGUGGUUUAAUUCGAUGAUACGCGAGGAACCUUACCAGGGCUUAAAUGUAGUCUGACAGGCGUGGAAACAUGCUUUUCUUCGGACAGAUUACAAGGUGCUGCAUGGUUGUCGUCAGCUCGUGCCGUGAGGUGUCAGGUUAAGUCCUAUAACGAGCGCAACCCCUGUUGUUAGUUGCCAGCGAGUCAUGUCGGGAACUCUAACAAGACUGCCAGUGCAAACUGUGAGGAAGGUGGGGAUGACGUCAAAUCAUCACGGCCCUUACGUCCUGGGCCACACACGUGCUACAAUGGUAGGUACAGAGAGCAGCCACUGCGCGAGCAGGAGCG
rnacentral:rRNA from 1 species